GUCUGGCCCGCAAAUCGCUACGCACCCAUAGUGUGAGGAAACACCGUCCUCCGUACGAAGCCGAAGCCCCGCAAGGGGCCGGGGUAAUACCCCGGGCACUGGCACAGAAACGACAUGUCCAUAGGCCGAUGAAGAUGAUUCAGAGAGGCUCCUCAGGCAACUGGGGAGCAGGUAACCUGAUGAUGAGGCUUAUGGGAGCAGUGAAACGGCCAGCCUUCGGGGAGCAAGGCUCCGAUCCCCGAUGAGUUUUCGUACAAGGGGUGGGAGCCGCUUAGCCAAAUGCGAUUAAUACAGAAGACGGGUUAUUGCGGGCCAGAC
rnacentral:RNase_P_RNA from 2 species